rnacentral:rRNA from 1 species
GGCUUGGGCAUGCUUACCAUGCAGUCGAACGGCAGCGCGGACUUCGGUCUGGCGGCGAGUGGCGAACGGGUGAGUAAUGCAUCGGAACGUGCCCAGUAGCGGGGGAUAACUACGCGAAAGCGUAGCUAAUACCGCAUACGCCCUACGGGGGAAAGGGGGGGAUCGCAAGACCUCUCACUAUUGGAGCGGCCGAUGUCGGAUUAGCUAGUUGGUGGGGUAAAGGCCUACCAAGGCGACGAUCCGUAGCUGGUUUGAGAGGACGACCAGCCACACUGGGACUGAGACACGGCCCAGACUCCUACGGGAGGCAGCAGUGGGGAAUUUUGGACAAUGGGGGCAACCCUGAUCCAGCCAUGCCGCGUGUGCGAAGAAGGCCUUCGGGUUGUAAAGCACUUUUGGCAGGAAAGAAACGGCGCCGGAUAAUACCUGGCGUAACUGACGGUACCUGCAGAAUAAGCACCGGCUAACUACGUGCCAGAGCGC